AGAGAAAAAUCAUUAUCAUCCUCAGAUGGGUGUCUAAGACAAUUGUGAUCAAUGCCUGAUGAAGCUGACUAUCUSUCUUUGCUGAACGUAGAGGAACCCUAAACAGCUGUGUUGGCCUCGUUUCCUGGUUUCUUAGGUGGCUAAAGGUGAGAAAAGUCCUAUACGAGGUUACUGUCGUGUGUUUUGUGGUUUGAACAGGACCAUAGCUUUAUCACAAUGUGUAAUGGGGAUUUUUCUUUGUUGUCAGUGAAAGCAGGAUUAGCACAAAUCAUCCCACUGCUCUGGGGUGUUGUGGGGGCAGCGAGCAAGCAAGAAAACGAGACUCCUGUAACGGCUGGCAAAACACUCAGACCUUGAACGGGGAGCGUUGUGACACUGGCGCAGAUACCCAGGAGACCGCGUUUGCCUGAGGUGGCGAGGCUUGCAAAGGGAUUUCUCAGAAAAAUCCCUCUCCUCCCUGUUCCAUCCGCCUUCCUGCACAAAAACCCUGCCCAGCCAAAGCCGAUCUGGAGAAUUGCAGGGAACAGGCUAUUUUUAUUUCAACUGCAUCAUAAUAGCAGUGUGCAGGGGGGGAACUCCUGCUGAAUAAACAGGAAGGAAAGGAGGUUUGGUGCAUGGCAUUCUCCCAAAGUAUUUCUGGGCUGUGCUGUUAACCCCAUGGUGGCUAUUUUAUAACAAUCCUCUCCUCUUUGUUUCCAGCCUGGAUGCAGCCUUCUGGCUAACUGGAGCUCUUACCGUUUCGCACAGACCUGAGCUCUCAGCUGCCACAAGAGGACAGACUCCGCAGCGUGCAGGACUUGCUUGUGCUCUUUUGUGUGAAGGCUGAGCCCGGCUGGGACUACACCCUGUGCUCACCCCUCAGAAAAUAAAUGUCCUGCUGUUUCUGGGUACCAGAAGUUGCAGAAUCCAUGAGGUCUCAUGUAAGGCUGUAAGAGGGGAAGAGAGGAGGCAGGAUCCUGGCUCUUUUGAAACCUUUAAGGACAGAUGUACCAGUGCGCUGGAUGUUGCUUCAUUGCAUCGGGCUAUUCUCCUCCUGCGAAGCAGAGGGACUGUGAGACUCACUGCAUCAAAUAUUCUCCAAAGGYGGGCCAAUGAGAGCAGCACUGCAGUCCAGCUUUUAUUGGGGUGACUGCAGCUAAGCUUCAGUAUCAUUGAACUCGACAGGCCACAGCUGGUAAGAAAGUAGGGCAGCACGUCUCUGGGUCAGUGACUGGACUUGUCCCUCAGCUCUGCAUUCCCUUAAUCUCAGAGGAGAAAUUACUGUGUAUUUCUCAGUAAUGAAAACUGAAUCUCUCUCCGCUCUGACUGGCUGAAGGUGCAUGGACAUACAUCUCUGUGUUAUAUAGAAAAGCCUUUGGUUUGAUGCUGUGUGGCGAAGUCAGCGUGCUCGUCAGAAAUAUUGUCACUUCAGUGUCUGAUCUGCUUUUCACCACCUUUCUCCCAGUGCCAGGUAGAAUAAAAUAAUAAAACUCAGAUCUGUACA
rnacentral:lncRNA from 1 species